rnacentral:RNase_P_RNA from 1 species
GGAGCGGGUCGGGCGAUCGCCGCGGUCCGACGUCGGGGCCGGGGAGGAAAGUCCGGACUCCAAUGGGCAGUGUGCUGGUUAACGGCCAGCGAGGGUGACCUCAGGGAGAGUGCCACAGAAAACACACCGCCGAACUCCCGGGUGACCGGGGGUGGCAAGGGUGAAAAGGUGCGGUAAGAGCGCACCGCCGGCGUGGUGACACGACGGGCAGGGAAAACCCCACACGGAGCAAGACCAAAUAGGGGGGCGUUCGAGGCUGGCCCGGCUGAAGCCCCCGGGUAGGUCGCUUGACCCCGCGGGUAACCGCGGGGCUAGAGGAAUGAUCGCCCCCCGUCGCCCGUCCGAGAGGGCGGAACGGCGGGGACAGGAUCCGGCUUACAGACCCGCUUCGCGA